ensembl:misc_RNA Y_RNA Y RNA
GGCCGGUCUGAGCGCAGUGGUGUUUACAGUUAAUUGAUCACAACCAGUUACAAAUUUAUUUGUUCCUUUUUCACUCCCAUCGCUUCACUUGGCUAGCCAAAA